rnacentral:lncRNA from 1 species
UAACCAAGUCAUUCAUGCCAAAUGCCAAAUUUGUCUUGAUUUUAUGGAAAAUCAGCAUAUGCCGCGACUUCAACUUCAUUCACCUUCUUACAAUUGAUGAAGUAGAGGUUGCCAUCUCUAAGGUCUUUGGCAAUAUAUUGUCCACUUAAUGUCUUCACAAAACAUGCAUCCAUAUCAAAUUGAACUUUACAACCAUCUAAUAUAAGUUUGCUCACCAAAAGAAGGUUCUUGUUCAUCUUUGAUACAUGUAAGACUUCCUUCAAUUUGAACUAC